rnacentral:rRNA from 1 species
UACGUAGGGGGCAAGCGUUGUUCGGAAUUACUGGGCGUAAAGGGCGCGUAGGCGGCACGGCAAGUCAGGAGUGAAAGGCCUGGGCUCAACCGAGGAACUGCUUUUGAGACUGCCGAGCUAGAGUGCAGAAGGGGCAACUGGAAUUCCCAGUGUAGCGGUGAAAUGCGUAGAUAUUGGGAAGAACACCUGAGGCGAAGGCGGGUUGCUGGGCUGACACUGACGCUGAGGCGCGAAAGCCAGGGGAGCAAACGGG